rnacentral:rRNA from 1 species
UACGUAGGUGGCUAGCGUUGUCCGGAUUUAUUGGGCGUAAAGAGCGUGUAGGCGGCUUGGAAGGUCAGCUGUGAAAACUCGAGGCUCAACCUCGAGACGUCGGUUGAAACCACCUGGCUAGAGUCCGGAAGAGGAGAGUGGAAUUCCCGGUGUAGCGGUGAAAUGCGCAGAUAUCGGGAAGAACACCCGUGGCGAAGGCGGCUCUCUGGGACGGUACUGACGCUGAGACGCGAAAGCGUGGGGAGCGAACAGG